AUGGAGUCAUCACAGUGUGCCAGAUGCAAGGAAGGAUGGAAAUGGUAGUAUUUCCAGCUCUACUGACCCAUAAGAACAACCCUGCUGGAUCAGGCCCAAGGCCCAUCUAGUUGAGCAUCCUGUUUCACACAGUGGCCCACCAGAUGCCUCUGGGGAGCCCACAGGCAAGAGCUGCUGUGCACUGAGACAACACUUUGAAAACCCAUGGGAGAAGCACCUGAUGACUGCAGUUCCAAGCCCUUCUUGCAUCUGAGUCCUUUCGCAAGAGGAUUUAGUUUUACUAUUUCAUCAAGAGGAGGAAGUCAUCUGCAGCAGUAUCAACAGGCCAAGACACAAAGAUCAGAGCUGAGCGCAGAGCAAAACUGAAUGUGAAAGAAUUGUUUAGGAUGCUCCAACGGGCUUCAGCUGCCAUGAUCAUAAGCAACGUUUGUCUUAUCUUGACAACUAUUUAAGAUUGCAGAGAAGGCUGCCAAGAAGAUGAUGAGUACUCUUCUCUGGGUCCUUUAAAACUGGUCUUGACAAGCACUGGGGAAUAAUCUGCAAGAAAUGUUGAUCUGGCAGAGAAGUGAAGUGGAUGAGCUAAUAGACUUUCUUUGCCUUUAAUUCCUAUGAUUCACAUUUCAUCAGCCAACACUUGCUAUCAAGACAAGGAAUUUUGUGCCAGCCAAAUUGGUGUCAUUUUAAAGCUUGGAUUGCUGUCAGCAAUUACUUCAUAUCUGCUAAAUGGUGUUCAAUAGAACUGUUAACCUGUGUCAUGCAAGCACACCCCAGAUUGUAACAUCAAAAUGAGGGCUCCAUUUUUGGAAGAACAAACCACAACUGAUUUCUGAAAGCAAAGGCAAAAAGGACGUGAAAAAUGCUAGCCCUCAUUUGCAUGCACAAUGCAGAUAGCCAUAUGGCAGGUUUUUUUAACUAUAGCAAAAGUGUUAGGCUUGGAUGUGGAAACCUGGUUCCUAAUUCUCUGACAUAAAGCUCCCUAAGUGGCCUUGUGUUGUGCCACUAUCUUUCCCCUAUAUGAUAAUCCAUGUAUGUUAUAAGUAGGGAAAAUUUGGAGUUCCUAACUCACAUCUUGGAUAUGCCUUGCAUCAAAAAUCCCAUUCACACGCUAUAUAUGAACACUAGUACAAUGAAUGUACAGUAUACGCAGGUACAGAUCUGUACACAGGUACAGUUAUUCACAAGUUACAUGCAAUGCAUAUACAGUAGUGUACUCCCUGUCUGUACCACGUAUUUGAGGGGCCUGUACCCAGGUUCACUUUUAACAUGAAUGCAGGUACAGUCAUUCACACAAAUACAUGUUCAAAUGUACACACAUCUGUAUACUAGUAUAGCAUGAUGACAUCUGAAGGGGCCUAAGGUGUCUUACCCCAUGCAGUCAUUAAAGCUAUACUCUUCAUUAUUGUGCUUAACACAUUUUGGAAACAUCAUUUCAGAAGAUAGAAUACAACUUUUUUUUAAUGGGCAGCACUGCCAAAGCUGAGCAUUUUAAAGUGCCUUUGGCUUCAAAGGAGGAGAUGUAAGCCCAUGCUUAACUCUUCUUGUGAAACCCAUGGAACUUAAACACACUUAUCCCCUUGGUUGGACUAUAAACACUAUGACGAAGAAGAAGAAUAUUUCUAUACCACUUUUCAACAACAAUAGUUCCCAAAGUGGUUCACAUAGAUAGAUAUAAAUAAAUAAAAUGGAUCCCUGUCCCCAAAGGGUUCACAAUCCAAAAAAGAAACAUAAGAUAGACACCAGCAACAGCCACUGGAGGGAUGCUGUGAUGGGGAUGGAUAGGGCUGGUUGCUCUCCCCCUGCUUAAUAAAGAGAAUUGCCAAUUUAACCAGGUGCCUCUUUGCUCAGUUAGCAGGGCUGAGAUCCUGACUAAGGAAACACACACACACACUGUGAGGGACUGUGGGGAUGCAGUAGGAGUCCUUGUGCAACUCUCCCAGUCCUCCUGUGUGUGAUGCUGCACAAGAGCCCUUUGAGUUUGGAGUGCUGUCCAUGCUCCAGAAGUGCUCUGUCUCUCAGUAAUGUGCGCAGAGGCACUCUUACCCCUGGACUUGGGGGCCAAAGUCCAAGGUCUCCACAGCCCCUGCCCCCCCCAUCCUCUUUAGUCUGUCCCGUGUGAUGUGGUCAUCCAGUGGAGCAUCAUGACACUUAAUUUUCAGGGGAAGGGGCCUUCAAAGGUCUUUAGGUCCAGGCUCUAAAAUUACCUAGGUGCACCUCUGAAUGUGCUUCCAAUCUUACAGAGUGCUUCUGGUGUACAGGCAAUGCCCUGAACUCCAUGCCCCAAACUCACACUGUGCAAUAGUGUGUACACAGGAGGCCUAGGGGACCUGUCUGAGGGCCCCUGGUACAUCUCCAUAGUCCCUAGAAGCAUGCACACUUCAUUAGGAUGUCAGCCAUUGGAUUUAAGCCAAUUGCUAUUUUUGUGGGUUUUCAUUUCCUAUGAACUCAUGAUUCAUACACUAGAACAAUGAUUCCACUAGAAUGAUAAAACUUUGAUUUUCAAAGCAUUAUGGAUAUUAGCUGAUAACUACUAGUUCAAUCAAUCCCCCUUACACCUCCAGAUCUUGUCCCUAAAUUACAUUUUAA